AGUCUUUGGGAGGUCUUCGCAUCAGCUUUGGAACCAGUAAAAGUUCUGAAACUGAAGUGGACUGGAUGGGCUCUACUUCAGAGGAAGUUGCUCUCUGGGAAAAGAUGGUAAAUUCCCCCAACACUUGGAUUGAAGCAACCCUGCCUCUCAGAGUGCUGCCUAUCGCCAGGAUUUCCAAA